rnacentral:rRNA from 1 species
ACCCGCUGAACUUAAGCAUAUCAAUAAGCGGAGGAAAAGAAACCAACAGGGAUUGCUCUAGUAACGGCGAGUGGAGCAGCAAUAGCUCAAAUUUGAAAUCUGGCGUCUUCGACGUCCGAGUUGUAAUUUGUAGAGGAUGCUUCUGAGUGGCCACCGACCUAAGUUCCUUGGAACAGGACGUCAUAGAGGGUGAGAAUCCCGUAUGCGGUCGGAAAGGCGCUCUAUACGUAGCUCCUUCGACGAGUCGAGUUGUUUGGGAAUGCAGCUCUAAAUGGGAGGUAAAUUUCUUCUAAAGCUAAAUAUUGGCCAGAGACCGAUAGCGCACAAGUAGAGUGAUCGAAAGAUGAAAAGCACUUUGGAAAGAGAGUUAAAAAGCACGUGAAAUUGUUAAAAGGGAAGGGAUUGCAACCAGACUUGCUCGCGGUGUUCCGCCGGUCUUCUGACCGGUCUACUCGCCGCGUUGCAGGCCAGCAUCGUCUGGUGCCGCUGGAUAAGACUUGAGGAAUGUAGCUCCCUCGGGAGUGUUAUAGCCUCUUGUGAUGCAGCGAGCGCCGGGCGAGGUCCGCGCUUCGGCUAGGAUGCUGGCGUAAUGGUCGUAAUCCGCCCGUCUUGAAACACGGACCAAGGAGUCUAACAUCUAUGCGAGUGUUCGGGUGUCAAACCCCUACGCGUAAUGAAAGUGAACGGAGGUGAGAACCGCAAGGUGCAUCAUCGACCGAUCCUGAUGUCUUCGGAUGGAUUUGAGUAAGAGCAUAGCUGUUGGGACCCGAAAGAUGGUGAACUAUGCCUGAAUAGGGUGAAGCCAGAGGAAACUCUGGUGGAGGCUCGCAGCGGUUCUGACGUGCAAAUCGAUCGUCAAAUUUGGGUAUAGGGGCGAAAGACUAAUCGAACCAUCUAGUAGCUGGUUCCUGCCGAAGUUUCCCU